CGCCUCGCUGGCCGCAGGGGGGCUCCGGGCGCGGCCCUCACGUGGCUGCUGCAGUGGCCCCGCCCGCCGCCCCCGCCAGGCGCCUCUUCAGCCCUCAGGAACCUGCUCCGAUAUCCCUUCCUCUGGAAGCUUUGCGACGCCUCGUGGGAGGACCGCGGCUCCCUCCUCCGGAUCCGUCGGCACCACGUGCUCCAGAUUCUAUUUAUUUACUCAUGAGAGACAGAACGGCAGAGACCCAGACAGAGGGAGAAGGAGGCCCCCGGCAGGAUUCGUUCCCAGGACCCCGGGAUCACACCCUGAGCCCCCCCCGGGCGACCCCUACCUGUUCUUUUCUGAUGCCCUCUUCCCCCUUGAGAGCCCUCUUGUCCUCGGAUGCCCAAAGGGAGAGCAAAGCCAAACACCAAAAUUAGUGUGCAAGCACAGCAUUUUGUUCUGAAAAUAACUUGGACAGAAGAGCUGAAUCAGCACAUACGUGAGCAAAGCCCUCUGACAUCACUUGACAGUCGCCUCUUCUAAUAAACAACCAGCUCACAGUGACCACAAUACCUGGUGUACAUAAGAAAAUCAAAAUUAAAAGGUCUCUUUAAUACUAAAGCCCCUGGGUCUUCAUCAGUAGCUGAGUGGAAUGUCUCCAUCCAGGCGUUAGGAAAAAAGUGUCAUGGCAAAUAGAGGCUAAACAGACCAGAGAAUGCAAGAAGGAUAACUUGAGCAAAAGAAACGGCUUGUGCAAUGAUUCUGUGUCGAACGCUAUGCCAGGAUCUAGGAAUACCAGGAUGAAUGAGAGCUGGGUCCUACUCUCAGAGAGAACUGACCUAAUGGGUGAUUUGAGAAUGUAAAUCCAUGGGUGCAGUGGAAUGUCGGGGGCUCUGCAGCUCAAACAUCUGUUCAGGCUACCAUAGGGCACAAGGAAAGAGCUAGCCUGGCCAAUUCUGCUGUAGGGUGGGGGCAGAGCUACCAGGAAAUGAAGUCAGAGCACUGGGGAAACCCAAGGCACUAUGGAAACUAAACACUUCAUCACGGACUGUGUUAGUGCCUCAGGAAAAUAUCUCUUUCUGAGCCUUGGUUUCCUCAACUGAAAAUGAUGUGGAUGAUUUUGAGCUGUUCUCUCUGCCUCAAAGCAUUGUUGUGAAAGAGAAAUGUUCAACAAAUAUGCCAAACUGUUAACAUGGUUUGGCAUUGGUGGUGGGAUUGUGGGUGACUAUUAUUCUGUUCUUAAUAUUCUGAAUUACCCAAUUUUAUAUAAUAAACAAGUAUUUUAUAGUCCUUUUUUUUGUAAAAAAAAAAAAAAAUUUUUAUUUUAAAUUUUGCCUUUGCUGCCAAAGUUCUUGAACUAAUGGUCUAUACUGGCUCCCUCUACUUCCUCCCCAUCCACUGAAUCCAACCAUUGUAAUCUGGCUUCCACCCCCUCAUCUAAAGGUCUCCAAUGGCCUCCCACUUGCUAAGGCCAAUGACCUCUUUUCAACCCUUGUCCAACUUGACUUCUCCACAUCAUUAACACAGCUCCUUAAACUGUCUGAAAAGCAUUGUCUGAGUCAUAGUGGUAAUGUAUUUACACUACAGAACACAAAAACAAAAACAGAAUCCUAGUAUCUACAGUUGCCACCACCAUAAUACAAACAUGGCCAUUUUGGAGUAUUUCCUGCUAGUCUUUUCAUUCAAGCAUAUUUUUGUAUCAGUAUGGCAAAAAUAUAUAUACAAUUUUGAAUUUACCACUUCCUUAAACCUCCUUAUUUCCACAAAACAAUUCUUUCCUGGGUUUUCCACAAGUCACCCAUCUCUCAAGUUUACACAUUAAUACACUAAUGUGCAUAAGGUUUCCUAAAGAGUUUGUUAAAAUGCAGAUCCUUGGACUCCACUCUAUCUGCUCAUUCAUAUCCUAUUUCAUUAGGAUUGAUUUGGCCCCAAGAGCCUAUGUUUUCUGCUUUCUGCAGCAUGUGGUCCAAAGACCAUACCAAAAGACACUGCAGCAGACACAUGUCUUGAUGGCAACCAGCUAAUCAAGCAACCAAAAACCAAAAACAACCUCGCAAACCCAAACCAGAGAUUCCUAGUCAUUGCAUUCUUUAGGGCUAGGAUUUGAGUAUCUGUAUAUUUUUUAAGUCU